rnacentral:rRNA from 1 species
ACGGUGGAUGCCCUGGCAGUCAGAGGCGAUGAAGGGCGUGCUAAUCUGCGAUAAGCGCCGGUAAGGUGAUAUGAACCGUUAUAACCGGCGAUACCCGAAUGGGGAAACCCAGUGUGACUCGUCACACUAUCAUUAACUGAAUCCAUAGGUUAAUGAGGCGAACCGGGGGAACUGAAACAUCUAAGUACCCCGAGGAAAAGAAAUCAACCGAGAUUCCCCCAGUAGCGGCGAGCGAACGGGGAGGAGCCCAGAGCCUGAAUCAGCAUGUGUGUUAGUGGAAGCGUCUGGAAAGGCGCGCGAUACAGGGUGACAGCCCCGUACACAAAAGCGCAUGUGCUGUGAGCUCGAUGAGUAGGGCGGGACACGUGGUAUCCUGUCUGAAUAUGGGGGGACCAUCCUCCAAGGCUAAAUACUCCUGACUGACCGAUAGUGAACCAGUACCGUGAGGGAAAGGCGAAAAGAACCCCGGCGAGGGGAGUGAAAAAGAACCUGAAACCGUGUACGUACAAGCAGUGGGAGCACCCUUUGGGUGUGACUGCGUACCUUUUGUAUAAUGGGUCAGCGACUUAUAUUCUGUAGCAAGGUUAACCGAAUAGGGGAGCCGGAGGGAAACCGAGUCUUAAUUGGGCGUUAAGUUGCAGGGUAUAGACCCGAAACCCGGUGAUCUAGCCAUGGGCAGGUUGAAGGUUGGGUAACACUAACUGGAGGACCGAACCGACUAAUGUUGAAAAAUUAGCGGAUGACCUGUGGCUGGGGGUGAAAGGCCAAUCAAACCGGGAGAUAGCUGGUUCUCCCCGAAAGCUAUUUAGGUAGCGCCUCGUGAAUUCAUCUCCGGGGGUAGAGCACUGUUUCGGCUAGGGGGCCAUCCCGGCUUACCAACCCGAUGCAAACUGCGAAUACCGGAGAAUGUUAUCACGGGAGACACACGGCGGGUGCUAACGUCCGUCGUGAAGAGGGAAACAACCCAGACCGCCAGCUAAGGUCCCAAAGUCAUGGUUAAGUGGGAAACGAUGUGGGAAGGCCCAGACAGCCAGGAUGUUGGCUUAGAAGCAGCCAUCAUUUAAAGAAAGCGUAAUAGCUCACUGGUCGAGUCGGCCUGCGCGGAAGAUGUAACGGGGCUAAACCAUGCACCGAAGCUGCGGCAGCGACGCUUAUGCGUUGUUGGGUAGGGGAGCGUUCUGUAAGCCUGCGAAGGUGGCCUGUGAGGGUUGCUGGAGGUAUCAGAAGUGCGAAUGCUGACAUAAGUAACGAUAAAGCGGGUGAAAAGCCCGCUCGCCGGAAGACCAAGGGUUCCUGUCCAACGUUAAUCGGGGCAGGGUGAGUCGACCCCUAAGGCGAGGCCGAAAGGCGUAGUCGAUGGGAAACGGGUUAAUAUUCCCGUACUUGGUGUUACUGCGAAGGGGGGACGGAGAAGGCUAUGUUGGCCGGGCGACGGUUGUCCCGGUUUAAGCGUGUAGGUGUGUGUUCCAGGUAAAUCCGGUUCACUUUAACACUGAGGCGUGAUGACGAGGCACUACGGUGCUGAAG